AGAAUCAACGCUGGCGGCGUGCCUAACACAUGCAAGUCGAACGGGAAAGUGGAGCAAUCCAUGAGUAUAGUGGCGACCGGGUGAGUAACACGUGACUAACCUACCUUCGAGUGGGGGAUAACCUAGGGAAACCUGGGCUAAUACCGCAUAACAUCUUUGGAUCGGAAGAACUGGAGAUCAAAGGGGCAAUUCGCUUGAAGAGGGGUCGCGGCUGAUUAGCUAGUUGGCGGGUAAUGGCCCACCAAGGCUUUGAUCGGUA
rnacentral:rRNA from 1 species